GCCGAGGUGGCGGAAUGGGCAGACGCGCUACCUUGAGGGGGUAGUGCCCGAAAGGGCGUGGGGGUUCAAAUCCCUUCCUCGGCACCA
rnacentral:tRNA from 1 species